UACGGUAGGGUGCAAGCGUUGUCCGGAAUUAUUGGGCGUAAAGAGCUCGUAGGCGGUUUGUUGCGUCGGCUGUGAAAUCCCGAGGCUCAAACCUCGGGUCUGCAGUCGAUACGAGCAAACUAGAGUGUUGGCAGGGGAGACUGGAAUUCCUGGUGAUAGCGGUGAAAUGACGCAGAUAUCAGGAGGAACACCGGUGGUGUAGACGGCUUUCUGGACCGUAACUGACGCUGGAGAACACGGAAAGCGUGGGUAGCAAACAGG
rnacentral:rRNA from 1 species